GAGUUUGAUCGUGGCUCAGGAUGAACGCUGGCGGCGUGCUUAACACAUGCAAGUCGAACGAAGCGCCUUAUUUGAUUUUCUUCGGAACUGAAGAUUUGGUGACUGAGUGGCGGACGGGUGAGUAACGCGUGGGUAACCUGCCCUGUACAGGGGGAUAACAAUCAGAAAUGACUGCUAAUACCGCAUAAGACCACAGCACCGCAUGGUGCAGGGGUAAAAACUCCGGUGGUACAGGAUGGACCCGCGUCUGAUUAGCUGGUUGGUGAGGUAACGGCUCACCAAGGCGACGAUCAGUAGCCGGCGUUGAGAGAGUGAACGGCCACAUUGGGACUGAGACACGGCCCGAAACUCCUACGGGAGGCGAGCAGUGGGGAAUAUUGCACAAUGGGGGAAACCCUGAUGCAGCAACGCCGCGUGAGUG
rnacentral:rRNA from 1 species